UGAUAAUCUAUUUGUUAGUAAAAUAUGUCAUUUUUGUCAUUAUAUUACUUAUCACAAAAAAAAUUAUCGAUUUUGAAACUGCCGCUUUAUGCAGUCCAACUUAGCGUAAUAACACGUGUUGUAUUGAAAUGAUUAUAACUUAGAUUGUUUGUUUACAACUGUAUUCAGGGCACAUCCUUAAUAUUUGGUAAUAUUCAGCAACAUUUAUAGUAUACCCCAGGCCCCGUCACACUAGGCCAUGAUCGCACUACGAUCUCUAGACUAUAAAAAAUAAUGCUUUUGACGAUUGUACUACGAUUGUGUAGAUCGCAGUAUUGUCGUGGUACGGUCUUGAGGUCUAGAAGAUCGUAUUGAGAGUAGCCAACAUGUUCAAAACAAUCGUGAUAUGUCGUUGCGAAAUCAUGUCUAAGUAGGAGCGCGUAAAGGUCGUAGUCCACAAAGAUCGCUGUGCCAUCGUAUCUUGAGCGCGAUUCAAGUCGCAGAUACAUUUACUGCGCUAUACGAUCUAACGUCGAUGUUACUGCUACCUUAAUACAACCACAGGCGCGGA
rnacentral:lncRNA from 1 species